rnacentral:lncRNA from 1 species
AUGCAGAUGAGAAGAGUUUCUGUGCCAGGGGCAAAGGCAGCCUCUCAUAAGAAGGCUUUCCUCUGGAAAAGAAGCAGUUUGAGUCCUGGAUCAGCACUAGAGUGCAGUGCACAAGGGAUGUUCAUCAGAGCUACUCGAGUCUGGCGGUGCUUCCCCACAUUUUCUUCAGCCAUGUUCAGCCUCCAGGAGUCCCAUAUUGAGCAGUGGAGGUACCUACAGAAAUGCAUUCCAGAAUGUGCAGGGAGCAUCUGCAAGAAAAGGAUGAUGGGGCAGAAAUGAAGUUAAACUGUUUAAGAUAAUUAUUUUCUUAGUAACUGUAACAAAGGAAAAACACAGUGGGAAGAACACUGCGAGAAAAAAAAAAAUCCUUCAAUGAUAGCUGCGCAAGUUAAAACAAGUACCUGGACUUUAACUCUGAUUUGGAAUGAAAACAAAAUUGUGAUUGGAGAGGCUAAAAGUGAUAGCAAAGUUAUAACAAUUAAGUUAAAAAGUUAACAGUUAUAGCAAAGGGUUUAAAUCGUCUGAAAGACAGAUGCUUGAACUUUUGUUGUUGUCUGCCAUGACCUUACAAUACAACAUGAAGGAAAACAACAUAAGCACUUUAAAGAUACUUAGUGCUGUCCAUUUUUCAAAGCCAUGGUGACUAUAAAUCCCCCAUACCAAAAAUCCAUGUGGAUCAAGUUAUCCUUUGGAAGUAAUUGAGGGUAUAUGAAUCUCAUUUAAACAGAACUCUAGCAUGCAAACAUUUCCUUAGUUUGUCUGAAUGUGAUAUUCUGCAGCUGCCCAAGAGCAGAAUGCAUGAAAAGCAUGUUGCAAGUCACAUGAAAGUUUGACAGCGUGGGCAAUCGCACUUCAUUAAUUCCUAAGAGAUUUCUGUCUUGUACUGGUGAACCAUCUGACUGUUGAAUUCAAAGAACUCAGAAGUGAUCACAGUGCUCUAAGGCACAAAGAAAGUAGAACUCCCCUCUCCUUCCUUGAAACUUUGCAUGCAUCACUGUUUGGUAAAAUACCAGCUAAAGUAAUCCCAAAGAGCAUUAAAAGGUAUCUGAGAAGGCUUUUAGCUUUUCUGACUUCAUAUGUCAUGAAGUUAUCAGCCAGUACUAUGAAAAGAGAAACUUAUUUUCUUCUUCUGAGACAACUGUCCUUUCCAUGCAGGUGCAAAAGGAAGUGGGGAGAUAGAGGAAGGAUUUGCCCUUCUUACAACCUGCUUCAAUUUAUUAAGCAAAGAAGCAGGACAAAGAAUUUUCACCUGCUGCUUCUAAAGAAUAUGUCCUGACAC